rnacentral:lncRNA from 1 species
CCUUACCCCCAACCCUGUGCUCUCUGAAACAUGUGCUGUAUCCACUCAGGGUUGAAUGGAUUAAGGGCGGUGCAAGUUGUGCUUUGUUAAACAGAUGCUUGAAGGCAGCAUGCUCCUUAAGAGUCAUCACCACUCCCUAAUCGCAAGUACCCAGGGACACAAACACUGCGGAAGGCCGCAGGGUCCUCUGCCUAGGAAAACCAGAGACCUUUGUUCACGUGUUUAUCUGCUGACCUUCCCUCCACUAUUGUCCUCUGACCCUGCCAAAUCCCCCUCUGCGAGAAACACCC